rnacentral:rRNA from 1 species
UACAGAGGUCUCAAGCGUUGUUCGGAUUCAUUGGGCGUAAAGGGUGCGUAGGCGGCGCGGUAAGUCGGGUGUGAAAUCUCGGAGCUUAACUCCGAAACUGCAUUCGAUACUGCCGUGCUUGAGGACUGGAGAGGAGACUGGAAUUUACGGUGUAGCGGUGAAAUGCGUAGAAUAUCGUAAGGAAGACCAGUGGCGAAGGCGGGUCUCUGGACAGUUCCUGACGCUGAGGCACGAAGGUCAGGGGAGCAAACGGG